GGGCGGGUAGCGUAGUGGUCAGCGCAUUCCUAAGCGUGAAGUUUCCAGCGUUGAUUUAUCUCCAGCGUUUAGCGAAAGACCCGGGUUCGAAUCCCGGCCCGCCCA